UUUUAAAAAAUGAAUAUAAUUUAUUAUUUUUAUCAAAAAGAAAAUUUACAACUGACAAAUUACAAGAUUACAAUUAAGAGCAAUUCUUUAAAAUUAACGAGACGAAAUUAAUUUAAAUUAAUUAUAGUACAACCUAUCACUUCGUUUAUAUUAAAACUUGAUGCGACAUAAAAUUUUCUUUCUCCGGCCGAUUCACGUACGUCUAUGUUUAUUAUGGGAUGUUUACCAACUAUUAUGGAUUGAUCAUAUUUGCGUAUAUCGAAUUUUUUCCAUGAAUGAAUGUUAUAGAAAUACACCUAAAAGGAGAAAUACAAAAUAACAAUCAGCUUAGAUUUUCAAUACUUAUAUGUAUUACUUCAAUAUUAUUUUGUUAUUAUCUAAAGAGAUAGUUUUAACCCAUCAUUGGUCGUUAUGUGAGAUUUUCUCUCAUAUAAAUCGAUUAAUUAAUAAAAGGAAUAUUUAUUGUUGUCAUAGGGGUGUAUCCUUGCUCCUAUCGGAGAUUUAGAAUUUUGGGUAUAAGUUAGACGUCUUGUUAUCUCUCCCCACUUCUCAGUCUACUGUCAGCGCCGGUAAAGUUGUCCGUAAAGGCCCCUACAGACACGUUUAGUAAUUUAGUCGAGUAGCGAGUAGCCACUUACCACUGGAACGUUUAAUAGAUGGCAACUGUCCACAUUUAAUAUGCUCAAGACACUUUAGUGGUACUCAAGAUGAACAGACGACGUCAUCGCGAUACACUAAACUAAAUUUAUGCGUACGCACGUGUUUAGUGGCAGUUGUGAGUAGUGGGGGACGCUACUCGACCGAAAAAAUAGAAUCAAAUUACUAAAUGUGUCUGUACGGGUCUUAAGUGUGACAGCUUCUCUCACGCGCGACCAAUCGAGUCAGAGAUUUUUCUUAUUCUUUCUAAUUGAAAAUGUUUCCUAGUCGCGGCAGAAAACUUGCUGAGAUGGGAAGGGCGUUGUAUGAAGAAGCGCAAUCAUUAUUGAUAAUAUUGUUUAUAUCAUUUACUCAUUCAAAAAAUAUAUGUGUAGAAAAGUUUUGGACGACAACAAUCCUGAAAGCCGUGUUGUUAAUUUUAAGUCUAUCUUUAUUAAAAGAACCGAUUUGUUUAUUCUUUCUUUAUAUUUUGUAAUUCAUAUUCAGUUUUCUUGUAUUGUGUUCCCUCUCUAGACGAGUUUCUUUUUUGUGUACCAGUUCAAGAAUUUUCGGGUUUUGUUAAAAGGAAAAAGAUGAACAUUAUUGUAAAACUAAGCCGUGUUAAAACUUCGUUCGUAAUGUUCUUCUCUAGCAUUAUUUCUCAAAUGUUAUUAAUUAACUCCAAAUAGUAAAAUAAAGUUCAGUUUAAUUCAA